rnacentral:rRNA from 1 species
AGCAGUGGGGAAUUUUGGACAAUGGGCGAAAGCCUGAUCCAGCCAUGCCGCGUGCAGGAUGAAGGCCUUCGGGUUGUAAACUGCUUUUGUACGGAACGAAAAGGUCUUUUCUAAUAAAGAGGGCCCAUGACGGUACCGUAAGAAUAAGCACCGGCUAACUACGUGCCAGCAGCCGCGGUAAUACGUAGGGUGCAAGCGUUAAUCGGAAUUACUGGGCGUAAAGCGUGCGCAGGCGGUUAUAUAAGACAGUUGUGAAAUCCCCGGGCUCAACCUGGGAACUGCAUCUGUGACUGUAUAGCUAGAGUACGGUAGAGGGGGAUGGAAUUCCGCGUGUAGCAGUGAAAUGCGUAGAUAUGCGGAGGAACACCGAUGGCGAAGGCAAUCCCCUGGACCUGUACUGACGCUCAUG